AGGACAGCCAGAAGCGCCUUCAUCCUGAGCAGACCCUCAGCCUGGGCGGCCAAGAAGACCAAGAGCUGCUUGUUCUACUCUUCCCCUCUGCAGGCAGCUGGGAGUCCCUGAGGAAUAAUGGCCCUGGACGAAACUGUCUUUAGAAGCUCUGGGCGGCAGAGAGUGAAGUGGCACCAGGGAAGUGAAGCAAGUCCGACAGCAUGGACGGUCCUGCAGUCAGACUGCUAGGCUGGGACGUGGGCGACCUGCACUCUGCCACAUACUUCCUGUGUGACCUUGAGUGGGUCACUUAGCCUCUCUGUGUCUCAGUUCCCCCUCUGUACAUCGAGGAGGGGGGGCACUGCUGCUCCUUGCCCCCUCCCCCUGUUGGAAUGGGAGCUCUUUGAGGCCGGGCUGCCAGCCACUCUGUGUUUGUACCACCCUGAGCAAUGGCAGGUGCUCCUGGAAUGCAAGUUACGAUGUUCUUUGCUCUCUCUUUCCCUGUUUGCUGUACAUUGGCCUCCAUUACUCCAAUCCUAGCAGUGACAGGUUGGCAACUCCUCUUCCCCUCAGCAGCCUCCAGGCCUGGAAGAGUUUCUUUGCCCGUUCUGCCCUUCUCCAGGCCCCACUGCUCUCAGACUCGGCCAGCCUUCCACUCCAGGGCUGUCUAGGUCCUGAUAUGGCCCCUCCCCUCCGCACCCCCCACAGGCUACAGAGCAGGAACUGAGGCAUGGCCAACAAAGGGACUCACCUGAGCAUUAAGCUCAAAUCACCUGAUUCCCAAUCCUGGGCCUUGACCACCGGCCCAUCAGGAAACUAACCCCUUCCCGCCUCCGCCCUUGCCUGGUGCAAGCCCUCGUGUGGUAGGGCACAGCUGGUCACCCUGCUCUGAGCAAGCCUAGGUAAUAAUCAUAGAGGUCACGGUGAUGAGGAAAGACCAGGGACAGUCCACACUAGCUUUCCGACCGCUGCUACCGGAGCUGCAUAAAUGCAACAGCCAGAGGAUGGAUCUGCUUGGGAUCCAUCUGGGAGAGUCUUCUGGGAUUUGCUAAGCUGCAGGGGAUGUGCUGGGAUUCUGGCCUGUUUACCCAGAAGCGGAAUUGUGGAGGAGCUGCACCGUGGCCCAGAAUCUUCCUGGCUAUUCGAAGUCCAAGGGAACACGAGAGUUUUUAAAGACGACACUAUUGAUAGUGAUUAUAAUGAUAGGAAACGGUUGUGGAAUGGAUCGAUGGGGGUCACGGCAGCCAACAGUUUAGGAGCUACUAGCCUCGGGCUCCAGCCUCGUACGUAAUCAGUCUGUCGCACAGUGAGUCUAUUGUAUUUUUAAUAACAAGGAAAGAAGCAUUAAAGAUCUGCUCUCCUGGG